rnacentral:lncRNA from 1 species
GUAUAUCAAACGAAAGGUCGUACAAGGUACAUUACGAAAACAUCACUUUUACAGGAAAGACCUUUCAAUUGUUUUACAAACAAUUGAGAUACUAGUUUUUUUCUUUUUUUUCUUCCAGCAUUGUUUUGGCACACCCUCCUACCGCGUCUAUAAGAGUUAUCAAUACCAAAUUUAAACCAUCGAUAGACCUCAUCAUGAACUUAUACCAGAUGAACUUUUGUAGGAUUUCAUCAUCCCCUUUAGAAGUUAUCUCCCUUAUAUUGAUUUUUUUCAACAUUGCCCCCCAUAAAUAUUUUAAAAGAUAUCAUAACUUUAUUUUGACAAUAGGUAGAUCUCAUCAUGAUGUGUUACCAUAUGAGGCUGCUAAGGAUUUCAUCAUCCAAUAUGAGAGUUAUGUCCCCUUGAAGCAAUUUUUUUCUUUUGCAUUUUUCUCAAAAAGUAUUAAAGAUAGAAUCGAUUUGAAAACGGCAGCAUGUACAAGACGAGAUGGCAUUGCUCAUAAACAUAUACAAUCAUUUUGUUGUUAACCCUUAUAAUGAGUUAUUUCCCUUGAAAAAAUAUACACAAUUUUUGAAAAAUUGUAUCUCGAGAUCCAGAAGUCGUAAAGACUUGGGACCUACUCUAAUAGUCUUAAGUUCAUGUGACCUUCAAUUUGCACCAAGGUCAAAGGUCACCGAGUGCAAAAAAAAAAUUGCGCUGCAAUUUCAAGCUUACAUAUUAGGAAAACCAUAAGACUUUGCUGCAUACAUACAGCGUAUAAAAUGUUCCUCUCGACGAGCUCUACAUUUUAUAUAAUAAGCCCAAAAAUGUCCGACCGUCUGUUCAAAAGUUACUACGGGAUGAUUCUUAAAAGUAUAGUAUUUUGCGUAUAUCUUUUUAAAGGUAACAGAUAUCAACCUACUAUAAACUGCAAAGAUGAUCAGUAAGUCAAGACCUUCAAUUUGAGGUCAAUGUCAGGUCAUGAUGAAAUUUCACCUUGACCUUCACAUAAUACUAUGACCUUGACCUUGUGAUAUUUGAAAGGUCAAGUGGUCUUGUGUUGAAUGGUGAUAGUCCCAUGUCUCUACGACUUCCGGUUCUCAAGUUUGGUAUUGCAUCAUAUAUUUGAUGAUUAAUUGUGACCUUGGUGAACUUUGAAAUUGUCCC